GCCUGGCUGGCUUAGUUGGUAAAGCAUGUGACUCUUAAUCCUGGGGUUGUGGGCUCGAGCCCCACAUUGGGUG
rnacentral:tRNA from 1 species